rnacentral:lncRNA from 1 species
GCCCAGACGACCCAUGGCUAGGGUAAAGCUGGUGCUGUCCUAGAAAUUGGGUCUCCCCUCCCAGAUCCAGGCUGCCUCCUGCAGGCUGCAGACUCUGACAUCCAGCCAUCUCAAUAUUCCAGAGAAGAGGAUGAGUGUGAAGGGUGGUGGCGAUUUUAAACAAGGUGAUCAGGAAGACCUUGUGGAUAACUUCGGGUCUGAGCACACUCCAUCAGGGUUUCCGUAGCAACCAGAGGACUUCACAGGAGAGAGUGAAGGGGAAUUAAGAGCCAGAGAGAGCAGAGGAGAGAGGAGGAGUCCGGAAGAUGCCUGGCUUGGGACCCGAGAGUGGCAGAAUAGCAAAGCCUGCAGCAGCCACAGCACUGUGGUCCUGAGACCCAGGCCAACUUCCUAGAGGACUGGUCGGUGACUUCAGAGGGUAGGGGUGGCCUGGGCCAACACCCAAUUCCAGCUGUCCCUCUGCCCCCAUACAUGCAGCCCCCCGAAAACCCAGAUUCCAAAACCACCUUCUUGGACUCUUCCCUGUUUCUAGCUUCUGACAUUCAAUCAUCUCAAUAUGACAAAUAUCACCAAGUCCUGCAGAAUAUUUCUUCACAAAGAACUGCCCCCUGUCCCAUCAUAAAGACACCUGGGCCACCCCAUGCUCUUCCAACCCAUCUCCCUGCCCAGUCUCUCCCUGGGCUUUUUCUAUACCCUCCCCCUCCCGCCCUCUGCAAGGAGCCCUUGGUAAUGAAGAGCAAACUCAUAAAACAUUCAUCCUGGGUAAUACACCAUGUAGGAGCUGCCUGAUCUCAGUUCUGAUAGAACAGGCCAGGUCAGCAGGACGCUGGGGCUUAGGCUUCUGAGGGUUUGGGCUGACUUCUCUACCUUGGGCUCAAGUUCCAGCCACUUCCCUUAAGGCA